GACACUAUGGCCGAGUGGUCUAAGGCGGCAGAUUUAAGUUAGCGUAGCUAAAAAUCUCUGCUGGAGCGAUCCGCGUGGGUUCGAAUCCCACUGGUGUCA